CGGGGUGAGUACCACGUGGGCAAUCUACCUUUCGGUGAGGAAUACCGGCGAGAAAUCGCCGACAAUACCGCAUACGCUCGGGCAACCGAGCAAAGUCGCAAGACGCCGGAGGAGGAGCCUGCGCCCGAUUAGCUAGUUGGUGGAGUAAUGGUCUACCAAGGCGACGAUCGGUAGCUGGUCUGAGAGGAUGAUCAGCCACACUGGGAUUGAGAACGGCCCAG
rnacentral:rRNA from 1 species